GGCGAACGCUGGCGGCGUGCCUAAUACAUGCAAGUUGAGCGAUGAAGAUUGGUGCUUGCACCAAUUUGAAGAGCAGCGAACGGGUGAGUAACGCGUGGGGAAUCUGCCUUUGAGCGGGGGACAACAUUUGGAAACGAAUGCUAAUACCGCAUAACAACUUUAAACAUAAGUUUUAAGUUUGAAAGAUGCAAUUGCAUCACUCAAAGAUGAUCCCGCGUUGUAUUAGCUAGUUGGUGAGGUAAAGGCUCACCAAGGCGAUGAUACAUAGCCGACCUGAGAGGGUGAUCGGCCACAUUGGGACUGAGACACGGCCCAAACUCCUACGGGAGGCAGCAGUAGGGAAUCUUCGGCAAUGGACGAAAGUCUGACCGAGCAACGCCGCGUGAGUGAAGAAGGUUGUCGGAUCGUAAAACUCUGUUGGUAGAGAAGAACGUUGGUGAGAGUGGAAAGCUCAUCAAGUGACGGUAACUACCCAGAAAGGGACGGCUAACUACGUG
rnacentral:rRNA from 1 species